rnacentral:lncRNA from 1 species
UACCAUCGCCAUUCUUCUUGUGUUUAACAUCAAUGCCAUUGCCCUCAGCUCACGUCACAGUGUAAUUUUUUGUGUGUUUCAUCAUCUGUGUAGCUGUCAUCGUCCCAGUCAUCUUCCCAGCUGCCCCCCCCGCUGACUCAGUGGUAAAAUCCACACACCAAUGCACCAUCUUCGAGCCAACCCUGGGGAAAAACUGACCAUCCACAGCCUUGACCCCCGAGCCCUCCUCAGCCCUCCGCUUAACAAUUUACAGGAUGUACGCACCGUUUUACUGUGGCUUUUGAAUUAGUUUUUGUUUGUUUGUUUAUUCAUAUUCAUUUUUAAAAAAUAUAUCAAUGUAAAUAUAUAACAUAUGUAUACAUUUACAUUUAUGCUAUUGGCACAUUUAUGCUAUCAGUAAAUGCCUUCCUUUUCU